rnacentral:rRNA from 1 species
GAUGAACGCUGACAGAAUGCUUAACACAUGCAAGUCUACUUGAUCCUUCGGGUGAUGGUGGCGGACGGGUGAGUAACGCGUAAAGAACUUGCCCUGCAGUCUGGGACAACAUUUGGAAACGAAUGCUAAUACCGGAUAUUAUGUGAGUUUCGCAUGAAAUUCACAUGAAAGCUAGAUGCGCUAAGAGAGAGCUUUGCGUCCCAUUAGCUAGUUGGUGAGGUAACGGCCCACCAAGGCAAUGAUGGGUAGCCGGCCUGAGAGGGUGAACGGCCACAAGGGGACUGAGACACGGCCCUU